rnacentral:misc_RNA from 1 species
AACGCACAUUGCGCCCUCUGGCAUUCCGGAGGGCAUGCCUGUCCGAGCGUCAUUUCUGCCCUCCAGCGCGGCUGGGUCUUGGGCGCUGUCCCCCCCGGGGACACGUCCCAAAGGCAGUGGCGACGCCGCGUCGAGUCCUCGAGCGUAUGGAGCUUGGUCACCUGCUCGGGACGGAUUCGCCGGCCUCGGUCUUCCCCGAUGGGCCUCCACAGGGCCCAUCUUUUUACGGUUGACCUCGGAUCAGGUAGGGCUACCCGCUGAACUUAA